GGCUGUAGCUCAGUUGGGAGAGCAUCGCGUUUGCAACGCGAGGGUCGCAGGUUCGAUCCCUGUCAGCUCCACAAG
rnacentral:tRNA from 1 species